UACGAGGGGGGCAAGCGUUGUUCAGAAUUAUUGGGCGUAAAGGGGGCGUAGGCGGUCUGAUAAGUCAUCUGUGAAAUCUAUGGGCUCAACCCAUAGUCUGCAGGCGAAACUGUCGGGCUUGAGUAUGGGAGAGGUGAGUGGAAUUUCCGGUGUAGCGGUGAAAUGCGUAGAUAUCGGAAGGAACACCUGUGGCGAAAGCGGCUCACUGGACCAUUACUGACGCUGAUGCACGAAAGCUAGGGGAGCAAACAGG
rnacentral:rRNA from 1 species